AUCGGGAUAACACCUGGAAACAGAUGCUAGUACCGGAUAACAACAGAUGAUGCCUAUCAACUGUUUAAAAGAUGGUUCUGCUAUCACUCUUGGAUGGACCUGCGGUGCAUUAGCUAGUUGGUAGGGUAACGGCCUACCAAGGCGAUGAUGCAUAGCCGAGUUGAGAGACUGAUCGGCCACAUUGGGACUGAGACACGGCCCAAACUCCUACGGAGGCAGCAGAC
rnacentral:rRNA from 1 species